UACGUAGGGUGCGAGCGUUAAUCGGAAUUACUGGGCGUAAAGCGUGCGCAGGCAGUUAUUUAAGACAGAUGUGAAAUCCCCGGGCUCAACCUGGGAACUGCAUUUGUGACUGCAAGGCUGGAGUGCGGCAGAGGGGGAUGGAAUUCCGCGUGUAGCAGUGAAAUGCGUAGAUAUGCGGAGGAACACCGAUGGCGAAGGCAAUCCCCUGGGCCUGCACUGACGCUCAUGCACGAAAGCGUGGGGAGCAAACAGG
rnacentral:rRNA from 1 species